GCGGUCGUGGCGGAAUUGGUAGACGCGUUAGACUUAGGAUCUAAUGCCGCAAGGUGUGUGGGUUCGAGUCCCACCGACCGUA
rnacentral:tRNA from 2 species